GACGAACGCUGGCGGCGUGCAUAACACAUGCAAGUCGAACGAAGUGGCGAACGGGUGAGUAACGCGGAAUCAACCUGCCCUUCAGAGGGGGACAGCAGUUGGAAACGACUGCUAAUACCGCAUACUUAGGGUGGGGUUUGCGUCGGAUUAGCUAGUUGGAGGGGUAACGGCCAACCAAGGCGGUGAUCAGUAGACGGUCGUAGAGGACGAACGGCAAUAUGGGGAUUGAGACACGGCCCAGACUCAUACGGGCGGCAGCAGGGGCGAAUCUUCCGCGAUGGACGAAAGUCUGACGGAGCAACGCCGGGGGAGUGAUGACGGCCUUCGGGUUGUAAAGCUCUGUUAAGCGGGACGCGGUACCGGAAGAGAAAGCCACGGCUAACUACGUGCCAGCAGCCGCAGUAAUUC
rnacentral:rRNA from 1 species